CCCCCUGGUUCUUAUUAAAAUAUUUUUGCUUGUUGAAGUAUUUGCAGUAUAUUCUCGUAGUUUUUGAUUUUUUCAUAUUUUUUGUACCUUUGACCACUGGUUCAAAUGUGUGCAAGUCGUACACAUUAUAUUCUCGUCCUCAAAAGACAGAAAACCUCGAAAUACAUCCGCAAAGACGAUAUUUGAAGCCGCAACUACAGGUAAAAUAUUUCUCAGUUCAUAACUUCACACACUGAGUCACACUCGAG